rnacentral:rRNA from 1 species
UGGGGAAUAUUGCACAAUGGGGGAAACCCUGAUGCAGCGACGCCGCGUGAACGAAGAAGGUAUUCGUAUCGUAAAGUUCUGUCCUAUGGGAAGAUAAUGACAGUACCAUAGAAGAAAGCUCCGGCUAAAUACGUGCCAGCAGCCGCGGUAAUACGUAUGGAGCGAGCGUUGUCCGGAAUUAUUGGGCGUAAAGGGUACGCAGGCGGUUUAAUAAGUCGAAUGUUAAAGAUCGGGGCUCAACCCCGUAAAGCAUUGGAAACUGAUAACCUUGAGUAGUGGAGAGGAAAGUGGAAUUCCUAGAGUAGUGGUGAAAUACGUAGAUAUUAGGAGGAAUACCAGCAGCGAAGGAGACUUUCUGGACACAAGCUGACGCUGAGGUACGAACGCGUGGGGAGCAAGCAGG